rnacentral:lncRNA from 10 species
UUUGCCUCCUUUCCCUUCCCAUCAGGGUUCAUGACCAAGGAGACGCAAUUCUGUGAGCCUAAGUCUCUGCUGGUCUGGUCCUCUUGGCUCUCUUGAGAGACCCAAGUACAGGUGACUUCCCUGACUCUGGCUGGGCUCCGUAAGCUGUCUUGAGGCUACGCAGCGUCUAAGGCGUUAUCCUUAACCUCCAGCUCCCUCCGGCUUUGCUUUUCUCUCUCUUCUUGACUCUUCUGAAGUUUUUCCUUGUUCCUGUCUCUCUUCCUCCUGUCUGCUGCAGCCUCACACACCAGACAGUUCUCAAGAUGUCCUUCGGGGGAGCCUCCAGGAAGGCGAAGAAGAGGCACUAGGUGCAUGCCUACACAGAGGAAAGCCAUGUGAGGACACAGCGAUAAGAUUGCUGACUGCAAGCUCAGGAGAACUUAGAAGAAACCAACCCUACCAGCACCUUGAUCUUGGACUUCCAGCCUCCAGA